GAGUCAAACAAGAAAGUGAGUGAGUAAUAUUUCGAUUUUAUUACAAAAUCAUUAUCAGACUAACUGUUAGUCUGAUAACGAUUUUGUAAUAAAAUCGAAAUAUUACUCACUCACUUUCUUGUUUGACUC